rnacentral:rRNA from 1 species
AGAAUCAACGCUGGCGGCGUGCCUAACACAUGCAAGUCGCACGAGAAAGGGUAGCAAUACCUGAGUACAGUGGCGCACGGGUGAGUAACACGUGAAUAAUCUACCUCCGAGUGGGGAAUAACUGAGAGAAAUCUUAGCUAAUACCGCAUAACACUUACGAGUCAAAGCAGCAAUGCGCUUGGAGAGGAGUUCGCGGCAGAUUAGUUAGUUGGCGGGGUAAUGGCCCACCAAGACGAUGAUCUGUAUCCGGCCUGAGAGGGCGCACGGACACACUGGAACUGAAACACGGUCCAGACUCCUACGGGAGGCAGCAGUGGGGAAUUUUGCGCAAUGGGGGAAACCCUGACGCAGCAACGCCGCGUGGAGGAUGAAAUCCCUUGGGAUGUAAACUCCUUUCGAUAGGGAAGAUAAUGACGGUACCUAUAGAAGAAGCCCCGGCUAACUUCGUGCCAGCAGCCGC